rnacentral:rRNA from 1 species
UAAGACAGAGGUGCCGAGCGUUAGGCGGAAUCACUGGGCUUAAAGCGUGUGUAGGCGGGCCGCAUAGUGCCUUGUGAAAUCCCCCGGCUCAACCGGGGAACGGCUGGGCAGACUGGCGGCCUUGGGCCAACUAGGGGUCAUCGGAACAAGCGGUGGAGCGGUGAAAUGCGUAGAUAUCGCUUGGAACGCCCGCGGCGAAAGCGGAUGACUGGGGUUGUGCCGACGCUGAGACACGAAAGCCAGGGGAGCGAACGGGAUUAGAUACCCCGGUAGUCCUGGCCGUAAACGAUGUCGACUAGGCCGCGGCCCCGCUGACGGGCGUCGCGGCCGGAGCAAAAGUGGUAAGUCGACCGCCUGGGAAGUACGGUCGCAAGGCUA